rnacentral:lncRNA from 1 species
CUGAUUUUCUGAGCACUGCAUGUACCAGAAAAAUCUCACUGCUGCUGGCAGAGUCUGUCAUGUAGCACUCAGAAAUGUGUCAUGAGAAAUGAUCCCCAAUCUCAGUUGAGAAACAUCACAACAGAUGAAGAAGUAAGAAUAAGCAUGGCAGCUCAGACUCGAAUGGUUUGCAAAGGACAGAUACAAUCCUGUCAGCCCCAUGCUUGAGUUCUGGC